CCCGCUGAACUUAAGCAUAUCAGUAAGCGGUGGAAAAGAAACCAACAGGGAUCCCCCCAGUAACGGCGAGUGAACAGGGGUCAGCCCAGCGCCGAAUCGCGUCGCCCCCAGCGGCCUCGUGAGGUGUGGCGUAUGGACGGGCGUAGCUGCUUUGCGUUGGCGACCCAACUUCCUUCCGGAACGAGGACUCACAGAGGGUGACAAGCCCGUAGUGCCGCCUAAGCUUAGUGGUGUUUCUCCCGGCCUUGAGUCGAGUUGCUUGGGAAUGCAGCUCUAAUUGGGUGGUACACUUCAUCCAAGGCUGAAUACUUCCACGAGACCGAUAGUCAACCAGUACCGUGAGGGAAAGUUGAAAACAACUCUGGAGAGAGAGUUAAAAGCGCGUGAAACCGGUGGGGUGGAAACGGAUGGAGCCGACGAAUACGGCCCGCUCCGGCGGGUGCAGUGCGCUGAGGCUCGUGGUUGCCUGGCUCAAUGUUGGGGACUCAAAGCGGACUUCGCCCUCGGGUGUCGUUGCUUCCCCUUCGGCGGACUGUGGCGGCUACGUUGACGUGGUUGUGGUGUUCGGCUCUCGUUGUUCGUUCGCUGCUCUUGAUGGACGCUUGCGUUCGUCAUUUGCUUCGUUCGCUCGACUUGGUUGUCCCACUUCCCUCUCUCGGUGUCGAAGUCGGUCACCCAUCCGACCCGUCUUGAAACACGG
rnacentral:rRNA from 1 species